GCUCGUGACUCGGCGAGAAGUCCAUUGAACCUUAUCAUUUAGAGGAAGGAGAAGUCGUAACAAGGUUUCCGUAGGUGAACCUGCGGAAGGAUCAUUG
rnacentral:rRNA from 1 species